rnacentral:sRNA from 1 species
UUCAUCGGUAGGUAAGGCUACCAUAGGGAUAUGGGCUGCUGCCGCAAAGUGGUGGAGACACCACGAGAGGGUCAGCAGGUAGCAUCGAAUUAAGGUGUUACUUAACGCAGCUUCACCGCCCUGUGAUGCUAAAGCUUGUACGAUCGG